rnacentral:rRNA from 1 species
GACGAACGCUGGCGGCGUGCCUAAUACAUGCAAGUCGAGCGAGCUUGCCUAGAUGAAUUUGGUGCUUGCACCAAAUGAAACUAGAUACAAGCGAGCGGCGGACGGGUGAGUAACACGUGGGUAACCUGCCCAAGAGACUGGGAUAACACCUGGAAACAGAUGCUAAUACCGGAUAACAACACUAGACGCAUGUCUAGAGUUUAAAAGAUGGUUCUGCUAUCACUCUUGGAUGGACCUGCGGUGCAUUAGCUAGUUGGUAAGGUAACGGCUUACCAAGGCAAUGAUGCAUAGCCGAGUUGAGAGACUGAUCGGCCACAUUGGGACUGAGACACGGCCCAAACUCCUACGGGAGGCAGCAGUAGGGAAUCUUCCACAAUGGACGCAAGUCUGAUGGAGCAACGCCGCGUGAGUGAAGAAGGGUUUCGGCUCGUAAAGCUCUGUUGGUAGUGAAGAAAGAUAGAGGUAGUAACUGGCCUUUAUUUGACGGUAAUUACUAAGAAAGUCACGGCUAACUACGUGCCAGCAGCCGCGGUAAUACGUAGGUGGCAAGCGUUGUCCGGAUUUAUUGGGCGUAAAGCGAGUGCAGGCGGUUCAAUAAGUCUGAUGUGAAAGCCUUCGGCUCAACCGGAGAAUUGCAUCAGAAACUGUUGAACUUGAGUGCAGAAGAGGAGAGUGGAACUCCAUGUGUAGCGGUGGAAUGCGUAGAUAUAUGGAAGAACACCAGUGGCGAAGGCGGCUCUCUGGUCUGCAACUGACGCUGAGGCUCGAAAGCAUGGGUAGCGAACGGG